CCUUACCUGGCCUUGACAUCCAGAGAACUUUCCAGAGAUGGAUUGGUGCCUUCGGGAACUCUGAGACAGGUGCUGCAUGGCCGUCGUCAGCUCGUGUCGUGAGAUGUUGGGUUAAGUCCCGUAACGAGCGCAACCCCUAUCCCUGGUUGCUAGCAGGUAAUGCUGAGAACUCCAGGGAGACUGCCGGUGACAAACCGGAGGAAGGUGGGGAUGACGUCAGGUCAUCAUGGCCCUUACGGCCAGGGCUACACACGUGCUACAAUGGCGCGUACAGAGGGCUGCCAACUCGCGAGAGUGAGCCAAUCCCUUAAAACGCGUCGUAGUCCGGAUCGGAGUCUGCAACUCGACUCCGUGAAGUCGGAAUCGCUAGUAAUGGCGAAUCAGAAUGUCGCAGUGAAUACGUUCCC
rnacentral:rRNA from 1 species